rnacentral:rRNA from 1 species
GACGAACGCUGGCGGCGUGCUUAACACAUGCAAGUCGAACGCUGAAGCUCAGCUUUUGUUGGGUGGAUGAGUUGCGAACGGGUGAUUAACACUUGAGUAACCUGCCUCCUUCUUUGGGAUAACGCCCUGACACGGGUGCUAAUACUGGAUAUUCACUGGUCUUCGCGUGUGGGUUGGUGGUAAGGGUUUUUCUUGUUGGGGUUGGGCUCGCGGCCUAUCAGCUUGUUGGUGGGGUGAUGGCCUACCAAGGCUUUGACGGGUAGCCGGCCUGAGAGGGUGACCGGUCACAUUGGGACUGAGAUACGGCCGAGACUCCUACGGGAGGCAGCAGUGGGGAAUAUUGCACAAUGGGCGCAAGCCUGAUGCAGCGACGCGGCGUGAGGGAUGGAGGCCUUCGGGUUGUGAACCUCUUUCGCUCAUGGUCAAGCCGCAACAAUGGUUGUGGUGAGGGUAGUGGGUAAAGAAGCGCCGGCUAACUACGUG